CAGCAGCACCAGGGACCCCCAGCUCUGCCCAGAGAGGGCCCCAGCAGCUGCUACAAACUCCGGCCUGUGUUCUCCAGCAGCAAAUUCCAGCCUCAACCAGUGCGCCCAAGACUGCUGGCCCUGAAGCUAAGUGCCCAACUCUGAAAACUUCCAUCCUUAAUCUCUUCCACAAUAUGGCACAAAGGAAGAUUUUAUCCUUGCAGUUCCUGCAGGCCAUCACUGUGUUACCAGAAAAGUUGGUAAUACAGAUUGCAAGCAGAACGUGGAAAAGAUAGCUCCAAGGCAUUCAGUUCUUCUGUCUCCCAUCUUUCAGCUCUAUUCUGCCAUGACUUCGGUGUUUUCACUUCUGUUCUGAUGUCUAUCUGUGAAAAUGGUUUGGACUUCUGUGCUUACCUGCAUGGAACUUUGGGGAUCAGGGCAGCUUUUCAGCCUUCAUGCUCUUCCUUCUCCCAAAUAUUUGGGAGAUGUGAGGGAUAUGCAUGCCUGGUGAGGUAGGGGGAGAAAGAAAUUUGAGACUUGAACAUGUUCCAUUCUUUGGUUUGCUUCGACCCAGCUUAACUCCAAAUUGAAUUCUCUGUGGGAUUUUUCCAAGCUGAAGUUGUUUCUAUAUGUAUUUGACUUUUGCCCAGACAAGCUCCAUACCAUUUGAAGUGUUUGAAUUUGGACAGCAAUAGUUCCAUCAUUCUGGAGAACCUCAGUGAGGAGUUUUAUUGCCUCUGUUGAACAAAGAAAUGUGCCCUGGAAGGAAUAGUGAGCCACAGGUGCACGUGUGCUGCCUCUGUUUGCUGGAUGCAUUAGGAUGCACAGGGACAAUUCCAACAUAAAUGCAAAAUCUCCUUUUGGGGUAGAAAUACUGUAUUGCUUGAGAUAACUGGUAAUGUGAGCAGUGAGAUGCUUGUGCAGACAUGGACUCCAGUGCACACCAUGCUGUAAAUCUGAGUGUUCUGCUCACUCUUCACCAGGGAGGUGUAUUAAGUCAUUACUUUUUUGCUGACGUUUAAUUUAGCUGCAUGACAACUUAUAUUGUGUUGCUUUGUUCUAAUUCUGUUGCAGUAAGGUCCAUUAUUGCAUGAAGUUGUUCCCUUGCUCAG